CCUACGGGUGGCAGCAGUGAGGAAUAUUGGUCAAUGGGCUUACGCCUGAACCAGCCAAGUCGCGUGAGGGAAGACUGCCCUAUGGGUUGUAAACUUCUUUUGUCAGGGAGCAAUUGAGUCCACGUGUGCGCUUAGCGAGAGUACCUGACGAAAAAGCAUCCGCUAACUCAGUGCCAGCAGCCGCGGUAAUACGGUGGAUGCGAGCGUUAUCCGGAUUUAUUGGGUUUAAAGGGUGCGUAGGCGGAAUAUCAAGUCAGCGGUAAAAAUUCGGGGCUCAACCCCGUCGUGCCGUUGAAACUGAUGUUCUUGAGUGGGCGAGAGGUAUGCGGAAUGCGUGGUGUAGCGGUGAAAUGCGUAGAGAUCAGGCAGAACACCGGUGGCGAAGGCAGCAUACCGGAGCCCAACUGACGCUGAGGCACGAAAGCGUGGGUAUCGAACAGGAUUAGAUACCCUUGUAGUC
rnacentral:rRNA from 1 species